rnacentral:piRNA from 1 species
UCCACUUGAUUAUUCAACUCCUCCUCGGCU